rnacentral:lncRNA from 1 species
CGGGCACUUGUGCCAGCAGCAACUGGGGCCUGUCCCACCCACCAGCACUGCUAUAAAUCCAGCGUGGUUGGGGCAAAGCAGCAUUCCCUGACCCCAGGGGCAUCUGGACACAGCCAUUCCUGUUGGGGUUGCUGCUGCCUGAGCACCCACAUCUUUGCCAGGGAGCCCUGUGAAGAGCCGCGAGAGGCAGCAGCCAUGAAGAUCCUGUUCCUGCUCUUCCCCCUGAUCCUCCUGCUGGUGCAGGGUGCUGCAGGAGGUUCAGCUGCAUGCAGGCGCCGAGGGG